CUCCUCCUCCUCUGAAACCUUAAACUUUUUUUUUGAAGAAAUCAAGAAACAGCAAAAGCACAAAACAGAAACAUGAAAUUCACAGGCUCGCCUGGAAUAGACCUCAAGAUCAAAGACAAAACUCUGUCUCUCCAAGAAGACAACAGUUCCUUCCAUGUGGGAACUUCAGUUUGGUCAGGUUCUUUAGUCCUCUCCAAAUUUCUCGACCGGUGGACCCCACUGUCCACGAACCCCACCACCACCCCAAACCGUUACUCCACCCUCCUCGACUUCCACAACCGCCGUGCCAUCGAGCUAGGCACCGGCUGUGGCGUCACUGGCAUGGCCCUUUUCCUUCUUGGACUCACUGACAUUGUCCUUACUGACAUCCACCCUGUGAUGCCUGCUUUGAAACACAACUUAAAGCGAAACAAACAAGUUCUUGGCAAGAUGUUGAAGACAGCGAUUCUUUAUUGGAGUAAUGAGGAUCAAAUUAAUGGGGUUAAUCCCCCCUUUGAUUAUGUAAUCGCGGCGGAUGUUGUCUAUAUUGAAGAGAGUGUGGGGGCAUUGGUGAAGGCCAUGGAAAUGUUGGUGAAAGAUGAUGGGGUUGUUUUGUUGGGGUAUCAACUGAGAUCACCGGAGGCGGAUAAGUUGUUCUGGGAGAUUUGUGGAGAGGCUUUUGUGAUCGAGAAAGUUCCGAAAGAGGAUUUGCAUCCUGAGUAUUGUUAUGAGGAGACUGAUGUGUUUAUAUUCAGGAAAAAGAAGAAGAAUUUAUGAGGAUAAUAUAGCAUUCAUCCAGGUGAUAUCAACCAGUCUUUUCAAGUUCCCUUCUUGUCGGAAAAUCAGGAUAUGUGCUGUUUUCUGUUCAGGGUUCUUGCCUUUGGUAUGUUAUUUUGAUUCACGCUUAUAUUUUAUUAUUUACUGCUACGGUAGGAUAAUAUAGCAUUCAUCCAGGUGAUAUCAACCAGUCUUUUCAAGUUCCCUUCUUGUCGGAAAAUCAGGAUAUGUGCUGUUUUCUGUUCAGGGUUCUUGCCUUUGUGCUGAAGGAAGAAACUAAAUUAAGUGGGACCCUAUUUGACUCAGGGACAACCAAGCAUCAUGGGUACCAUCAGCUGGCCAAGUUUUUCAAAUUUCAAGAACUAGAAAUGGGUCAUCAGAGUGUGAAGUGCAUGCAUAUACCCAAAUUUUAUCAUGAAGGAAACUAGCCCCACAACUGAUAAUGACAGAAGUAGGUAUAUUUUUACAAUUAGCUGAAGAGAGCAGGUAUUUCUACUUGAACUUUCAUUUAAGCUUGAAGAUUUCGUCUUGAGUUGUAAUCUGUAAUGUGUUGUGAAAUCUUAAGCUUGCAUUCUUAAUUUUGUAAAAUUAAAAUAUUUCUACUUGCUCUCAUCUGAACAGCCAGGUUAUUCUGCACAAGUCUCAGCUCUGUUUGCUCUCUGGCAAGGAAAUGGAGUAAAAAGUGCAUGGUUGGAGUUGAACUGUAACUGCUAGUGGAACAAUAUCAAAUUUUAUAUUUUCUUACUGAUAUUCUACUUGCUUUAAGAUUGAACAUUGAAUAAAAUUUCUUGACUUGACCAUAAAAUACAAACAACCUAAUGUUGUUGGAAAAACUUCAGAAGUUCUACAUUCUGCUAUCAUCACUUGUUUCAUGAUUGAGGAUUCGCUGGUUCAGUUAAGAGGCCAUAACUGAGUGUCAGAGCCUAUCAAACAAGUAUAUAGCUCUUCUACAGGAAAUAUGUCAUCAUUUCCAGCGUCUCCCCAAUUACAGAUCAUGUUUCCAGGAGAACUUGAGUUUGCCUGCUCAUCACUAGAUCCUGACACUGAAGGGUGAGUUGCAGCAGAUGAGGUUGGUCCAAAAAGUAUCAUUUGUUGAACCUUGUUCAGCUCAAAUUUAAGCAUGCUAACUUGUUUCUCGAGCCUGAUGUUUUCUGCCAAUACAUUACCUAGCUCUAGCUGGAUGUUCAUGUAGUCAUGCUCUAUGGCAUCAUUUUUGUGCCUGGCUCUUCUAUUUUGAUACCAUAUUGCAACUUGUUUUGGUGGCACGCCUAGUUGCCGGGCAAGCUCAGUCUUGUGCUCUGCUUUGAGCUUCUGGUUAGCAUUGAAACUUGUUUCCAGGAGGUUAAGCUGGUCUCUAGCAAGCCUUUUCUUUCUGGGUUUGAGAGGUCGGUUGCCUUGGCUUUGUGACUGGUGGUGUAAAUGGGAAUUCAUGUCUUUCGGUGUUUCUGAAGAUUAGAACUCAAGACGUGGACACAAAGGAUAAUCUUCGAGUGCCCUUUUAUAGGGUGCAGCAAGUACGGAUUGGCAUUUUGAUCUUAGGGUCAAAAUUGAUGGGCCAAAAUUAGCCCAAUAUAUACCUGCUCCUGCUAUUGUGGGGAAUGGUGGUCUCUAAUUGGUAGAAGGUUCUUGUCUAUACUUUGUUCAACCGAUCAAUACGAACUGUAGCUGCUAGAAAAACAGAUUGAUCUCUUGACUGAUCUAUGAUAGCCUCACUAGUAUUAAUCUAUCAAAGUUUCUUCUUGAAUAA